rnacentral:rRNA from 1 species
GACGAACGCUGGCGGCGUGCUUAACACAUGCAAGUGGAGCGACGAACCGGGGCUUGCCCCGGGGCAGAGCCGCGAACGGGUGAGUAACACGUGGGUAACCUGCCUCAAUGAUUGGGACAACCCGGGGAAACUCGGGCUAAUACCAAAUGUGUUCACUCCUUCCGAGGGGAGUGAGGAAAGGAAGCUUCGGCCUCCGCAUUGAGAUGGGCCCGCGGCCCAUUAGCUUGUUGGUGAGGUAACGGCUCACCAAGGCUUCGAUGGGUAGCUGGUCUGAGAGGACGAUCAGCCACACUGGGACUGAGACACGGCCCAGACUCCUACGGGAGGCAGCAGUGGGAAUCUUGCACAAUGCGCGAAAGCGUGAUGCAGCAACGCCGCGUGGGGGAA